GUAUAUGACAAGUAGGAAAUUAGACCAACAUGAGGGCACAGCGGAAGAGCAGCGCCUCCUCUGGAUGGACAGAGAAGAAAGACGACAGCAGGAACAAACAAGAAGAAAACUUAAGUCUCCCUAAACUGUGAAGAGGAAUGGAAGACAAAGGAGAUGCUGCUUCUGACAGAGACUGUAGAAGGUGUUUGCAGAGAAGCUGCAAUAAAGGAAUAAUGGAGCAGAAGCAGAGGAGAGAGUGACAAGCAGAUGCCUCUGACAAUAUCACUGUUUUUGGAGAGCCACAGAAUGCACCAGGUUUCCCCUUCAUUUUUACUUGAUGCCAAUUUCUCUUCCAUGAGUCCUAGCCAACCUUAGUGGCAACCAGUACAAUGGAUAAACUCUGGCCCUGGGAAUGCCCAUUAGACGUGACCACUGAUGGGAGGCAUGGUGACACCACAGGCUGCUUAAGAAAGAAGCACUUUUAGAUGAAAAAAUGGCUUACAAUUUUCCAAAGUAAGAAAAUGCAUUCACAAUAGAAGACAUGGGAAAAAAUGCAUCUGAUUACAGAGGACAAGA